rnacentral:rRNA from 1 species
GGGGUAACGGCCUACCAAGGCGAUGACGGGUAGCCGGCCUGAGAGGGCGACCGGCCACACUGGGACUGAGACACGGCCCAGACUCCUGCGGGAGGCAGCAGUGGGGAAUAUUGCGCAAUGGGCGGAAGCCUGACGCAGCGACGCCGCGUGGGGGAUGAAGGCCUUCGGGUUGUAAACCUCUUUUACCACUCACGAAGGCCCCUGGUUUUCUGGGGGUUGACGGUAGGUGGUGAAUAAGGACCGGCUAACUACGUGCCAGCAGCCGCGGUAAUACGUAGGGUCCGAGCGUUGUCCGGAAUUAUUGGGCGUAAAGAGCUCGUAGGCGGCCUGUCGCGUCUGCUGUGAAAGUCCGGGGCUUAACUCCGGGUGUGCAGUGGAUACGGGCAGGCUUGAGGUAGGUAGGGGAGACUGGAAUUCCUGGUGUAGCGGUGAAAUGCGCAGAUAUCAGGAGGAACACCGGUGGCGAAGGCGGGUCUCUGGGCCUUACCUGACGCUGAGGAGCGAAAGCGUGGGGAGCGAACAGGAUUAGAUACCCUGGUAGUCCACGCCGUAAACGUUGGGCGCUAGGUGUGGGGACUUUCCACG